rnacentral:rRNA from 1 species
UUGAAGAGUUUGAUCAUGGCUCAGAUUGAACGCUGGCGGCAGGCCUAACACAUGCAAGUCGAGCGGUAGCACAGAGAGCUUGCUCUCGGGUGACGAGCGGCGGACGGGUGAGUAAUGUCUGGGAAACUGCCUGAUGGAGGGGGAUAACUACUGGAAACGGUAGCUAAUACCGCAUAACGUCGCAAGACCAAAGUGGGGGACCUUCGGGCCUCAUGCCAUCAGAUGUGCCCAGAUGGGAUUAGCUAGUAGGUGGGGUAACGGCUCACCUAGGCGACGAUCCCUAGCUGGUCUGAGAGGAUGACCAGCCACACUGGAACUGAGACACGGUCCAGACUCCUACGGGAGGCAGCAGUGGGGAAUAUUGCACAAUGGGCGCAAGCCUGAUGCAGCCAUGCCGCGUGUGUGAAGAAGGCCUUCGGGUUGUAAAGCACUUUCAGCGGGGAGGAAGGCGUUAAGGUUAAUAACCUUGGCGAUUGACGUUACCCGCAGAAGAAGCACCGGCUAACUCCGUGCCAGCAGCCGCGGUAAUACGGAGGGUGCAAGCGUUAAUCGGAAUUACUGGGCGUAAAGCGCACGCAGGCGGUCUGUCAAGUCGGAUGUGAAAUCCCCGGGCUCAACCUUGGGAACUGCAUUCGAAACUGGCAGGCUAGAGUCUUGUAGAGGGGGGUAGAAUUCCAGGUGUAGCGGUGAAAUGCGUAGAGAUCUGGAGGAAUACCGGUGGCGAAGGCGGCCCCCUGGACAAAGACUGACGCUCAGGUGCGAAAGCGUGGGGAGCAAACAGGAUUAGAUACCCUGGUAGUCCACGCCGUAAACGAUGUCGAUUUGGAGGUUGUGCCCUUGAGGCGUGGCUUCCGGAGCUAACGCGUUAAAUCGACCGCCUGGGGAGUACGGCCGCAAGGUUAAAACUCAAAUGAAUUGACGGGGGCCCGCACAAGCGGUGGAGCAUGUGGUUUAAUUCGAUGCAACGCGAAGAACCUUACCUGGUCUUGACAUCCACAGAACUUUCCAGAGAUGGAUUGGUGCCUUCGGGAACUGUGAGACAGGUGCUGCAUGGCUGUCGUCAGCUCGUGUUGUGAAAUGUUGGGUUAAGUCCCGCAACGAGCGCAACCCUUAUCCUUUGUUGCCAGCGGUCCGGCCGGGAACUCAAAGGAGACUGCCAGUGAUAAACUGGAGGAAGGUGGGGAUGACGUCAAGUCAUCAUGGCCCUUACGACCAGGGCUACACACGUGCUACAAUGGCAUAUACAAAGAGAAGCGACCUCGCGAGAGCAAGCGGACCUCAUAAAGUAUGUCGUAGUCCGGAUUGGGAGUCUGCAACUCGACUCCAUGAAGUCGGAAUCGCUAGUAAUCGUAGAUCAGAAUGCUACGGUGAAUACGUUCCCGGGCCUUGUACACACCGCCCGUCACACCAUGGGAGUGGGUUGCAAAAGAAGUAGGUAGCUUAACCUUCGGGAGGGCGCUUACCACUUUGUGAUUCAUGACUGGGGUGAAGUCGUAACAAGGUAACCGUAGGGGAACCUGCGGUUGGAUCACCUCCUU